rnacentral:rRNA from 1 species
UACGUAGGGGGCAAGCGUUGUCCGGAUUUAUUGGGCGUAAAGAGCGUGUAGGCGGUUAGGUAGGUCCGUUGUGAAAACUCGAGGCUCAACCUCGAGACGCCGAUGGAAACCAUCUGACUAGAGUCCGGAAGAGGAGAGUGGAAUUCCUGGUGUAGCGGUGAAAUGCGCAGAUAUCAGGAGGAACACCUGUGGUGUAGACAGCUUACUGGACCAUUUCUGACGCUGAGACACGAAAGCGUGGGUAGCAAACAGG